rnacentral:lncRNA from 1 species
AAGAAGAGGGAUCUAUUGCAAGGAAGUUACGGUACCCAAAUAAAAGUAAAAGGAAAGCCCCCCCCCACCUCCUUGUCCCUAGCUACCCAGUCUUUCCAAUUCCAUUUUUUGCUCCAGCCUAAUGAAUGCAUUUUAAAGUACAACUCGCAGUGCUCUCUCUUUGCUCCCUGCCUUCCUACUCCUGCAAAUAGCAGCUCUGCCGCUCGCUCUUUCAGAUCCACUUCAAGGGAACAGAGACUUGAAAACUGUCCCCCACGGUUUCGUCUGCCCUGGCUGCGGCUGGCUGGCUCGGGUGGCCGCAGUCGGGGAACCUGCCAGGUAGAAAGAAAUGGAACUUCAUAUAUACGUGGUAAAAAGUGUGGACUGGUGACCAGCUCAUUCCAUUCACUGGGAGAGAAAAGAAAUAUACUUCCUCUAGGACUGCAGCAGAUAGCCGCUGAAUACCUGCUUCAAAUCACCUUUCACUUGUUCUUGUUGGAAAGACAACCAUGGGAGAAUCGUCUGGUUACCUUCAGCAAAAGCAGAAACAAAUCAAGACAUUAAGCUUGAAGCUCUGGCAUAGCGGUGUGGGGAGGGGGGACAGGGGCAAGAUACGUAACCCUAACAAUAUAUGUACCCACAGAAUUUGAGAUAAUAAAAAAAAUUAAAAAAAAAAAGAAAGAAAGAAAAGAAAGCCACGGUGACCGGCAGUUACACCAGCUUCGGCAGAGGAAGUUUUCCAGAGUGUGCCUCACUAGCCAGAAAUCAGAAAAGAUGGAAGCUAUCCUUUCUGUCUCAGUUGCUCCUUAAAUCAAUGCAAUUCCUCCAAAUUAAUGUGAAUUGAAACAUGCAUUGCUUUUCAACUUAAUUGAGUUCUUACUAUGUGUGAAUCACUACACCAAAUAGGGGAGAGAAAAUGAGGGAGGCCAAUAAGAUGUGGAGCCUGCCUUCAGUGAAUUUACAAUUAAUUUCAGGGCACAUUUUUUCCUUCUGCUCUUAAUUGGGUGUAACCCUAAGACAAGAAAUAAAUGAAGGGAAAAGCAUAUUCUGCAAAUAUGUUAAGUCCCUUUAAUAAGAAACAAAACAAAACAAAACACACAAAAUAACUCCUAAUGUGGGCACCUCAGGACAUUUUUUAAUUCCAUUUUUUGUUGGAUUUCUGACAGGAUCCAUUUUAUUGAUUCCAUAAUAUUGAGUAGACUUUAGAGAUAUUAAAGCAUUAUGGUUAAUUUGAAUUAAGUUCUAUUUUUUCCCUUAGAUAUGGAUUGCCUGUUGGAAAAACAUAAGAGUAGGAAGGUGAAUUACACCUGUUAUCUCCGUAGUCCUCUACCUUCCACGCCCUAGAGGCCUGCCAUUCUGAGCGAUUAGUAUGCAGAAGAGGAAGGUUUGCAUCAAACUUGGGCGAUGGUACUCACGAACCCAAGAUAGGAGGGGGAAGGAGCAAAAAACACCUGGGAAGUGGCUCUGUAUGAAAAUUUGGCAUAGUAAUUAUAUCAGUAUUCAUUGUAUUGUCCUUUGUGUUCCAUAAAUUGAAUAACUAUACAAUUUUUCCAAAAAUUUAUUCCUGAUCUGAGAAUAUGCCACGAUUUUUCCAGUGUUAAGACACUGAUAUGACUCUAUGUACUAGACAUUUUAUGUAGUGUCUGUGACAUAUUUUAGUAUGUAUGAGCCAACAAUAGACAUGUCUUUGUCUUGAGUAGUGUCCAUCUGAAUUGAAAUUGUGCCAGCUUUUUUUUAACAUCAUCAACAGACUUCUUAAUUAAGCUGCCAAUAUAUACUGCCAAUAGCACUGUCUGCUGAGAAAUGAAUUGUGUAAGUGAUGUUUCCAUCUUAUUAAAUAAACAAUGUUGCUCUGUUUAAAAUGGAUUUAAAGUAUUCUUUGAAUGGGCCAUUAUAUUGCUCCCUAAAUUAUUUGAUGAGAAUCCUUAUACCAUCCCUUUUAAUUUCUAAAAACUAUUAUUUUGUUCUUCAGUAAGAAAUAGCUCUAAUUGGACCAUAACUUUAGUUACAUGAUUAAUCCUUAAUAGUAUGAAUUGCCCCACCCCCAAACUCCUGGUCAUGUGUGACACUGGAUAUUUGUUAUAUCACUUUCAGUUCAAAUCUUAGUUAUUAUAUUAACUUGUGUUAAACUAAACUAUAGCUAUUUAUUUCCUGUUUUGGGAAUUUUUUUGGAGGGUACAUCUCUGUAUUACUGAUGCAGAGUGCCUGGUGCACAGUAGGUCUGUGGUCAGUAAACAUUUUGGUGAUCAAGGAAUAUAAAGUAUUAAUAACCCUUUUUCACUUUUGGCUCUUAAGCUCUGUAAACGACAGAGGGAUCUUGCUAACAGAAUAGCACCUUUAUUGGUUUGUAGUUUACAAUCAGUCUGCUUAGAAUGAGUCCAAAAAAACUGGAAAUUUUUAUGUAGUCUGGUCCAUUGGGCCUCUUAAUUGGUGUCUUGUGUUCACCAGUUCAGCCCUGUCAUUUGUACCAAUGUCCACCUGCUGCCACUGGGCAGGUGCCCUUGCCCGACUCUCUACACAGGGGUGGCCUUCAGAGUGGCUGCUACACUUCUCCUCUGGCUUGUCCAUCAAUAGAAUAGCAAUCACUCUGUUCACUGGGUACUCACUAUGUGCUAGGUGCUGAGCUAAGUGCUUUACGUAUAUUUUCCCACUUAAUUACUCAUUUAAACCUCACAACCACCAUUUGAAGUAGGCGCUAUCCACUAUAGAGGUAUGUAUCUUGCUUAAGUCUUGGGGCUCCAAAUCCAGAUCUCUUAGACUCCAAAUUCCAAACUAUUAACCCCUACCCUCUGCUGCAUCCCAGGAGAAAUUUCCAGUGCAUGUUGUAUGUGGUGGGAGGGCAUAUCAAAUCUGGACAUAGUCCAGAUUGAUUGCAUUUAAUAUUCCUGAACACCAACCUGUCUCACAGACAAAAUCCAGCAAAUCACAGUUGUUUUGUGAAUGGGGGAAGGGCAGAACAAUUGGGAGAAAGCAAAGUUGGAAACAAACCAAUUUGAGUCAAACCUUUUAGACUUUACCUCAUACUGCUUUUUUUUUUUAACUUUCUUUUUUUAACAUGGCCUGACACCAUGUGAUAAAUCAAAGCCUGACGUAAUUGACCCAGAAUUGAUCCCCAAAUGUCUUUUGGGGGAACAUGCUUUAACUCUGGUUGUUGAUUCUGAGGAAUAAUUGCCACUCUAGAAAGGUAAUUACAUAUGCCAUUGUUUAUACACAUAAUAGGCUCAGAAUGCAUGUUCUGCACAGAGGGAGAGAGAAUCCUGCUCGCACAUUAGGGGUGUGACUACGUAUUGUGUCAGAAUGCCACGAAUAGCAUUUGAACGGCUCCCGAUUACUGCUAAUCUCCCUACAUGUGAGUGUGAGUAAGUGUGUAAGGGAGAGGUUGGGAGUGAGGAAGGGAUGGGCCAUAGAAGGCUGCUGAGCUGAAGGGCAGCAAUUUGUUUUUCCUUAAUUUUUUCAUUUACCAAAACAUCUUUUGGAUCUGAUUCAUUUAGCUUAGUCUGGUAAAAAGACUGUUUUCUCUCUGCGUGGCAUAUGCUUAUUAAUGAGUUCUCAUAUUUCUUUCCAUCAAGGGCUGUUUACUUUGUGGAAAUGCAUAGUGAGAAUCGUUCUCCACAACAUCCUACUAAAUGCCCUGGUUUUGACCACCCCUUUAAGUACACCAAACAGGCAGUUAAGACGGUAGCCAGUGCCUUUCCUCUUACUAUGCUUUCUGGUAAAACAGAAAUGGAAUUUAAACCACAAAUCACCAAUUAAAGCAUUUCAUGCCUUUCCCUUUACCCAGAAGACAGUAGUUAUCCUAAGUAAAUACAACAAAAAGGCUAUUCUGUGGUAGUCUAACACUAGCAACUUAUUUUUUUUUUUAAUCAAAGCCUUAAAUAAAACCCAAAUAUCAUGACUUUUUGUAGUGCUGCACAAUGAAAGAAAUACGUAUGUAUUCCAAUAUGGAACUGAGCAUUGUUUGAGGCCGAAGCAAUUCAUCGUGGACUAUUCUCUGCCACGGUGUCCAGCAAAUUGCAUGACCUGCUUGUUAGGCUUGACAACAGUGUUUUACCUAACAAAGGCCUCUGCAGCGCCGAGCAGCAGUGGAAUGUCAGAAUGAGCACGUCUCACGCACAGAUGUGCAGCCAUAAUGGCCUAUAAGAAGAUGCAUGUG